UCUUUGUAUUCCUAAGACCAACUUCUGUCUUCCAAUCCUACACCCUAAUUCAGUUCUUUGCUUUUAACCCUAAACUAACAAUCAAGUUUAAUCAGAUGUACUAUGUAGCAAUCAGGAGGGAGUAUUCAUCUUAAUCACGUGACAGAAGGUAAUGGAUACAUAGCUAUCUUCAGAUGAAGUGCAACAAGACAAUGCAAUAUCAGAGGAAGAUGACUUUGUGGUUGAGCAUAUUGGAACUGAUUCAAAAGGCCAAGAAGCAGAGAAAGCUGUCCUUUCAGAGCCGAAGAGUGGAAUGUUAUUUGACAGUCAGGACCAUACUACUAGUUUUCUACAAAAGUUAUGCUCGGAAGAUGGAAUUUGGUGUGACAAGAAGAGGCUCUAAAAAGACUGAAGAUGGCAAGGAAUUCCAAUUAAAUCAGCUGGCAUUAUCAUCUCACAUGAGCUCUUAUAUGGAUCUUCUUCAGG